AUUGAACGCUGGCGGCAGGCUUAACUCAUGCAAGUCGAGCGAGCGGAGGACGGGUGAGUAAUGUCUGGGAAACUGCCUGAUGGAGGGGGAUAAAUACUGGAAACGGUCGCUAAUACCGCAUACCAUCAGAUGUUCCCAGAUGGGAUUAGCUAGUAGGUGGGGUAAUGGCUCACCUAGGCGACGAUCCCUAGCUGGUCUGAGAGGAUAACCAGCCAUACGGGAAAUUAGAAACGGUCCAGAAUCAUACGUGAGGCAGCAGUGGGGAAUAUGGCACAAUGGGCGAGAGUCUUACGCAGCCUGGCCGCGUGUGUGAAGAAGGCCUUGGGGUUGUAAAGCACUGUCAGCGAGGAGGCGUGACUCGCAGAAGGAGCACCGGCUAACUCCGUGCCAGACGCAGCGGUAAUAC
rnacentral:rRNA from 1 species